UCCAGUGUGCUGGCCGGCAAAGAGUGUGUCCUCCAUGAUGUCCCUGGGUCUGGAAAUUUCAAUGAGAGAAUGCUGGUGCCUUAGGGAGGGACUCACUUCAUUGGUGCCCUGCCUGUGGUAAAGGAGGUGCUGACACCAGCCCAUAAACAGCCCAUUGUGUUUUUUGUCAUCACUAAAUCACAUCUGCACCUGAGCGCCUCAGCACCUGAGAUGCCUGCGGCUUACUGGAAUGUUGGAAUGUGUGACUUCGCCAAAUAUACUGACACGGUAAUCUCCAAAGAUGGUAUUCUAAAAAGUCUGCUGUGUCUAGUCUUACCCCCA